rnacentral:rRNA from 1 species
AGCGAUGGAAGCUUGCUUCUAUCAAUCUUAGUGGCGACGGGGUGAGUAACGCGUAAUCAACCUGCCCUUCAGAGGGGGACAACAGUUGGAAACGACUGCUAAUACCGCAUACGAUCUAAUCUCGGCAUCGAGGAUGGAUGAAAGGUGGCCUCUAUUUAUAAGCUAUCACUGAAGGAGGGGAUUGCGUCUGAUUAGCUAGUUGGAGGGGUAACGGCCCACCAAGGCGAUGAUCAGUAGCCGGUCUGAGAGGAUGAACGGCCACAUUGGGACUGAGACACGGCCCAGACUCCUACGGGAGGCAGCAGUGGGGAAUCUUCCGCAACGGACGAAAGUCUGACGGAGCAACGCCGCGUGAGUGAUGACGGCCUUCGGGUUGUAAAGCUCUGUUAAUCGGGACGAAAGGCCUUCUUGCGAAUAGUUAGAAGGAUUGACGGUACCGGAAUAGAAAGCCACGGCUAACUACGUGCCAGCAGCCGCGGUAAUACGUAGGUGGCAAGCGUUGUCCGGAAUUAUUGGGCGUAAAGCGCGCGCAGGCGGAUUGGUCAGCCUGUCUUAAAAGUUCGGGGCUUAACCCCGUGAUGGGAUGGAAACCGCCAAUCUAGAGUAUCGGAGAGGAAAGUGGAAUUCCUAGUGUAGCGGUGAAAUGCGUAGAUAUUGGGAAGAACACCAGUGGCGAAGGCGACUUUCUGGACGAAAACUGACGCUGAGGCGCGAAAGCCAGGGGAGCGAACGGGAUUAGAUACCCCGGUAGUCCUGGCCGUA